rnacentral:rRNA from 1 species
GGGGAAUAUUGCACAAUGGAGGAAACUCUGAUGCAGCGAUGCCGCGUGAGGGAAGAAGGUUUUAGGAUUGUAAACCUCUGUCUUCAGGGACGAAAAAAGACGGUACCUGAGGAGGAAGCUCCGGCUAACUACGUGCCAGCAGCCGCGGUAAUACGUAGGGAGCGAGCGUUGUCCGGAAUUACUGGGUGUAAAGGGAGCGUAGGCGGGAUCGCAAGUCAGAUGUGAAAACUAUGGGCUUAACCCAUAAACUGCAUUUGAAACUGUGGUUCUUGAGUGAAGUAGAGGUAAGCGGAAUUCCUAGUGUAGCGGUGAAAUGCGUAGAUAUUAGGAGGAACAUCAGUGGCGAAGGCGGCUUACUGGGCUUUAACUGACGCUGAGGCUCGAAAGCGUGGGGAGCAAACAGGAUUAGAUACCCUGGUAGUCCACGCCGUAAACGAUGAUUACUAGGUGUGGGGGGACUGACCCCUUCCGUGCCGCAGCAAACGCAAUAAGUAAUCCACCUGGGGAGUACGACCGCAAGGUUGAAACUCAAAGGAAUUGACGGGGGCCCGCACAAGCAGUGGAGUAUGUGGAUUAAUUCGAAGCAACGCGAAGAACCUUACCAGGUCUUGACAUCGUAUGCAUACCUCAGAGAUGAGUGAAAUCUCUUCGGAGACAUAUAGACAGGUGGUGCAUGGUUGUCGUCAGCUCGUGUCGUGAGAUGUUGGGUUAAGUCCCGCAACGAGCGCAACCCUUACUGUUAGUUGCUACGCAAGAGCACUCUAGCAGGACUGCCGUUGACAAAACGGAGGAAGGUGGGGAUGACGUCAAAUCAUCAUGCCCCUUAUGACCUGGGCCUCACACGUACUACAAUGGCUGUCAACAGAGGGAUGCAAAGCCGCGAGGUGGAGCGAACCCCUAAAAGCAGUCUUAGUUCGGAUUGUAGGCUGCAACCCGCCUACAUGAAGUCGGAAUUGCUAGUAAUCGCAGAUCAGCAUGCUGCGGUGAAUACGUUCCCG